rnacentral:misc_RNA from 1 species
GGGGUACAAAAGCUUAUCCAGCAACAGCCAGUAUAUAAAAAUGAAUCUCAGCAUUCAAUUCAAGAAGACGACAAUUACGCAAUCACCAUCAGUAAAUAGGAGGUAACAGCAGGAGAGCAAGGCCAAAGGCAGCUGAAGAAAACCUCAUAAUUCCGUCUUUGAUCAUGCUGCAGUUGAACAAUUCUCCCAAGACCCAUACUUUGAGCUGAAGGUUCCUCCUCCACUUUGUUG